rnacentral:rRNA from 1 species
AGUGAACGCUGGCGGUAGGCCUAACACAUGCAAGUCGAACGGCGGCACAGGAGAGCUUGCUCUCUGGGUGGCGAGUGGCGGACGGGUGAGGAAUACAUCGGAAUCUACUCUGUCGUGGGGGAUAACGUAGGGAAACUUACGCUAAUACCGCAUACGACCUACGGGUGAAAGCAGGGGACCUUCGGGCCUUGCGCGAUUGAAUGAGCCGAUGUCGGAUUAGCUAGGUGGCGGGGUAAAGGCCCACCAAGGCGACGAUCCGUAGCUGGUCUGCGAGGAUGAUCAGCCAUACUGGAACUGAGACACGGUCCAGCCUCCUACGGGAGGCAGCAGUGGGGAAUAUUGGGCAAUGGGCGCAAGCCUGAUCCAGCCAUACCGCGUGGGUGAAGAAGGCCUUCGGGUUGUAAAGCCCUUUUGUUGGGAAAGAAAUCCAGCUGGCUAAUACCCGGUUGGGAUGACGGUACCCAAAGAAUAAGCACCGGCUAACUUCGUGCCAGCCGCCGCAGUAA